GAAGGAGGGUGCUAGCGUUGUUCGGAAUUACUGGGCGUAAAGGGCGCGUAGGCGGGCGUUUAAGUCGGUUGUGAAAGCCCGGGGCUCAACCGUGGAACGGCGGGAGAGACUGGGUGGCUCGAGACCGGGAGAGGAGGGUGGAAUUCCCAGUGUAGCGGUGAAAUGCGUAGAUAUUGGGAGGAACACCGGUGGCGAAGGCGGCUCUCUGGACCGGUACUGACGCUGAGGCGCGAAAGCUAGGGGAGCAAACGGG
rnacentral:rRNA from 1 species